UACGUAGGGCGCAAGCGUUGUCCGGAAUCAUUGGGCGUAAAGAGCUCGUAGGCGGCCUGUUGCGUCCGCUGUGAAAUCCCGGGGCUUAACCCCGGGCGUGCAGUGGAUACGGGCUGGCUGGAGGCAGGCAGGGGAGAACGGAAUUCCCGGUGUAGCGGUGAAAUGCGCAGAUAUCGGGAAGAACACCGGUGGCGAAGGCGGCUCACUGGCUCAGUAUCUGACGCUCGAGGCGCGACAGCGUGGGGAUCAAACAGG
rnacentral:rRNA from 1 species